UCUCAUCGCGAGAUGNGGGCGCACCCAGAGCGUACACGCUGGGACCCGAAAGAUGGUGAACUAUGCCUGGUCAGGACGAAGUCAGGNNNGGAAACCCUGAUGGAGGUCCGUAGCGAUUCUGACGUGCAAAUCGAUCGUCGGAACUGGGUAUAGGGGCGAAAGACUAAUCGAACCAUCUAGUAGCUGGUUCCCUCCGAAGUUUUCCUCAGGAUAGCUGGCGCUCGCNUNNNUCGCGAGUCUCAUCCGGUAAAGCGAACGAUUAGAGGCAUUGGGGUCGAAACGGCCUCAACCUAUUCUCAAACUUUAAAUGGGUGAGAUCUCCGGCUUGCUCGAACNGNNNNNNNNNNUGAAGCCGCGAGACCUCGGAUCANNGAGUGCCAAGUGGGCCACUUUUGGUAAGCAGAACUGGCGCUGUGGGAUGAACCAAACGCCGAGUUAAAGCGCCUAAAUCGACGCUUAUGGGAUACCAUGUAUGGCGUUG
rnacentral:rRNA from 1 species